AACGCGAGAUGGCGUUGAUCAUCGAAAAUUAUUUUAAUUAUUUUCUUCGUAACUUAUGGGCAAAGUGUCAACGGAUUUUGAAACGAAAAUGUGAAACGCGGUAGACUAAUUACAAUUCAGAAAUUAUUUAAAUAGUGUUAUAGUAAUGCAAUGAGACGUAAUGAAGGAAAUAUAUUUUUAGAAAUAUACUACAUGCUGUAUGUUAAUUACCUACUUACUGUUACUUAAAAUGAUGUUUCAAUUCAAAGGAAUGCUAUUCAUUUAUUAGGAGCUAAUUCAAUUUGAUGAUGUAACUUUCAUCGAUCAUAUAUAAUUAUUAUAAAUCAAAUAUAGGAAAAGUUUAAUUCAAGACGAUCAAUAUAAAUCGGGGAAAACAAUUUUGUGAACGGAAGAGAAAAAUGGAAUUUGCGAGAGUGUUUCUCGUAGAAAAAUAGCAGAAUGGCCACGGUAUUACGACAUAACUUCUCGCCAACGGUAUAAACUCCAGCAGAGCCAUUGUCUGUCGCCCGAAGCAACCGUUCAACGAAAAGCGACUUCAUUGUCAUGAUUCCGUAACCUAUGAAUGGUUGGCUAUCUCGUUUAACUUCAAUUACCGUGCCUUCCCUUUCAUUUCAUUGCUAGUGGAGUCAAGAAGUGGGGACACAACACCAAUGUUCUGUCAUUCUUCUCCUUUUUCCUUUUUUUUUUUUUUAUUCCCUAUAUAACCUAAACCUUUGUUGCGGAAAAACCAUCUUACCAUCAUGUUGGAUUAUUAUCGUUAAAUUUUCCUUUAAGAAAGAUCUCGUACUAGACUAAUUCAAUGACCAUAAUAUAAAAGGUAGAAACGAUCGAAUUUCCAGAUCUGAUCAGAAUAUAAUAAAAAAGAAAAAUUUUCUUCGUCAUAUAAAAGGAGAAAGAAAAAUGAAUUGACAUCGGAUGCAGUGGAUGUAGAAUUAUUAACGAGAGUCAUCUACUUUGGAUGAUGAGAAAGCAGUUCAAAGAAAACAAUAGGAUCCCCCGUUGAAACAUCGAGUAUCCGGUUGAAGAUGGGUAGUGGCUGCAGGGGGUCCAAUUUAACGAUGUACGAACGAUCGAGGCGUUAAUUACUUUCUAAUCGUUGCUUGCCAGUUAAAAAAAAAAAAAAGAGAAAGAUAUCAAAAUCGACAUAUUAUUAUAUCGGAUGGAAGAAAGUCAACCUUCGAGAGAUACACAGACCACCUGGAUUCUCUUCCUGGGAGGUCGCAAAAACUGGAUAUAUUAAACAACCAUCAAAAAAAUAAAAGAAGAGUAAAAAAAGAAUCACAGAUUUCGGGAGUCGAGGAACAGGCAAUAAUUAAAAGAUAUGCAUUUCUUUCCUUUGACACCAUUUUUAACGAUUUGUAUAAUAUUUCGAUGCAUGAUUUUUUUUUCAGAUACAUAUAACGAGAAGAAGAGCUUUGAAAUUGUCAAUUCGUAAAAGUUUGAAAGAAUGAAUUCUUUAUUUUAAAGAUCUUCCACGGUAAAAAACGAUUUACCAUGAGGUGAUCCUUCAAGAUCAGUUUCCUACGUCUAUAUACCGGAAUCCCUUGGCUGUGAGAAAGUCCCAAGGCAGGAAGUGACUAUAAAUAUUUGCCUAGCUAGCCGUCUUUUACGAUUACAACGCGAUUCAGUCUGACUGGAGCUCGAUUGUACUCGUGUGACGUAAUGCUCCGUUUUGUACUGUACUUGGUGUUGGAACAAGUUGAAGAAGGACGAUUUAAAGUUGCGAAAUGACAAAGAAGACUUUAUCAGUAGUAUUUUUAGAAAUUCCAUGAAUUUAUCUUUUCAAGCGUUUUACAAGAUUUUAGUAUAAGAUUUCCGUAUAAUAAUAUCUUUACCAUAUGAGGAAUUAUAAACGUUAACUCUAAAAUGGAGGAAGUCUAGAGUUAAUAUUCGAUCUCAGCAAAAUUGCAACUUUAGCUCAGAUGAUACUAUAAAUAAAUACUUUAUAUUAUACCUGCAUUGAGACAUGCUUGCGAAAAUAAUCAACAUUAACUACUUGAACUAUAAUUAUCCUAUCAAUCUUGUAUGGCAUGAAGAAAUUAGUCAUGCUUCUGAAACCAUUAAAAGCGACGGAGGGAAAAAGAAAUAAUUCACGAUAAACGCGGAGGAUCCAGUUGUUGACUGUACUACGAAGGCAAUAUACUAGAGGGAAGCUAAUAAGCAACCAUAUAGAAGUUGGCAAGGCCUAAUAUCAGCCUAAAUAUACACGACGUGAAACUCCAGGAAGGGUCUUAAAAAGAUUAAAAAGAUUAAAAAAAACGUAGCCGAGCCUACUGAUCUGUAAAAAAAUUAAGAAGAUGCUCACAUAUUGCAACAAAGCUAAUCUGCUCAAUCUUUAUAGCUUUCCCCUUUCAUUCCAUGAUCAACUCUUCAACGCAAAGAGAACUCAUCGCAAUUAGAAUAUCACAAAUUGUAUUCGUCCCAUCGUAACGAAGAUAACCGGCUAUAAAUAUAUUAAAAGAAUUCGUCGAAAUUAAAUUAAAAACUUGCUUUCACAACAAGAAAUUCUUUUCUUCGACUAAAGUAAAGGGAGUUGUGAAGUGAUUCUCUAUUUUACGAACGAGAUCCAUCCAACGAUUGAAUAGAGCUAAUGGAAUUAGCUUCUAAAAAUAUUUAUUUUUGUUGAAUUAUCUCAAGAAACGAGAGAGAGAGAAUACGAUCGAAUCUUUGUCGUAACAGUUAAUCCAUGGAUAAAAGAAUCGAAGAGUCCUCGGGGUACUUGUCCUGGGGAAAUGAGAUCGCAGCCAAAACGAAUCCAAUACGAGUUUUCAUAGAGUCCUAGAAAAAUAUUAUCGCAACGGUGUCCGAGAAGGGGGAAAGAAACGCGAUUUCCAAUUGGAGGAGCAAUCUUUGCGAGAUUCUCCUCGUCCUACGUCCAUUUUUCCUCUCGUGAAUCUGCCUCUCCCUUUCCCUUGCCGUACAGGUAUCCUCAGGUCGACUAACUUUGCCUCGUUUGGAGCCCAUUCUUCCCCAUUCAUUCUCUGUGUCGUUUUCUCUCGGAGGACAAUCCACGGUGUCCUGGGGUCUCACGCCUCGGCAUUGACCGCUACCAUUCAUCGGUUCAUUCUCUUCCUUCGACAGCGACUCUUUGUCACCCCCCUCAGAGAUACGCGGCGGAGGGAAGGAGGGAAUGUGGGGGAAGAAACCGUGAAAAAUAAAAGGAAGCCGAGUUUGCGGUGGAAAAAUGAGAAAAAGAAAGAGAGAGAAAGAGAGAGAGGCUCGAGCCGCGGAAUUAUGGAGCGUGGAGAGACGGGUAUUUUCUUGCGGUAUUCUAUUCAAUCGGCCGCUUACUGCGAUUCCAACCAUUCUCAGCGUCGAUGGUAGCAGCCACUUUGCCGAAAUCACGCCCUCCUUUUGACAAUGACAUCAAGAUUUAUCGAAAUCCCGCAGGCAUUCGAUAUAUCGUUAUUUUUGCGCCCCUGUUCCCUUUGUACGAUAUUUUCCAUGCGACCAUAAACCUUGAUUACGCUUUAUUAGAUCGGCUUGUCAUCGUCAUUAUCAAUGAAUGCCGAAAAUCAAGCGAAUAUUGUAAGCUUUGCGUGUUAAGAUUCGUCUUUUCGAGGUUAGGUUAAAAAAAGAUGCUUAAAAUUGAAAUUAUAGACAAAUAUUUCUUCCACUUUCAACCAGGAGCUCAUCAUCGCGUAAGAGGUAAACAGGUAUGUAGAAUUAUAGACAAUAUAUAUAUAUAUAUAUUUCUUUUAUUUUCAACGGAGAACGUUUCGAGAAGCAACAGGAAUGUCAAGCAAAAAAAAAAACGUUUUACAAACAGAUUAACAUAGCGUGAAAGAAUAUUUACGAGCGAUGAGAUAUCCUUAAACGAUAUCUGUAUUAUUCGAAAGACACCAGUCAUCCCAUCGAUGAUACAAAACUCAUCAAUCGGCCUCGAAUUAUAUUGCUCCCGACUUCUAUAUUGCUCCUCGAUUUUCGAUACUGUUCCUAUCAAUUGUAAAUUAUCAUCUCGUUAUAUUGGAAUGAAAAUGUCUUGACGACGGUCAUCUCUAAUCUGUCUGGAACGUCUUGAUCCUACGCCAAUGACGCCACCAUACACGCGUACCUACACAUUCUCGUAAAAAGCACGUGCUCGAUUUUCGGUUGGAAUUCGCUCCUCUCGCUCGUUCCACGGGUAAACUCGUGGCGUAUUUGUGUGGUAUUCAGCGAGAGGAUCGAAAGAGAGGGCCCGACAAUUACGAGUACCUGGACGAGCAGCAACGAGCAGCCUGUUGCUCCUCCCGGCGUACUCUGCACCAGUGUAUAUACCCGGACAGGUUUCGGCGGCGUAAUUAUUAAUAUAAGAGAAAGAGAGAGGAGGAUGCUCAAGGUGGUCCCUCUCGGUGGAAGGGCACGGGGCAGUUUUUAUUUUUUUUUUUUUUUUUUCAAUCAAGUUCUCGAGUGUAGAAUCGUCAGCGUGCACGCACACGCGGCUGCUUUCGGGUGCGAUACGCGACGUAUCAUAAUUACCGGAGGACCAAUUAAUGGUCGAGUCGACAUCCCCGGUAAUUUGGACAGAAAGCUAUUUGUCAAUUACUUAUCUAAUUCCUGUUGAUUUAUCCCCUCUUUGUACGUUCUUUGGCGAUUCUUUUGUUUUGUUUUUUCUUUUUUUUUUAUUUUAAGAAUUCUUGUUUGAAUCGAAUAUUUUUGAUGAAAAAAAUUGACAAUGCGAAGAAAGGAUAUUUGACGUAUUUAUACGUGCAUUUUUGUAAUCAAUUAUCAGAUAGCAACAAGAUUUGUAGUUAGAAAAAUCUGGAAAUAAUUAGAGAAUCGAAAAAUACUUAUUUAAAUUCAAUAAAUAUUCAUCUAUUUGUCUGGCAUCCAAGAAAGAAAAAUUAGAAAUUCAAAUUGACGUCCAAUAACUAUCAGUGGCAGCCGACACAGAGAGGAUAGAGAGGCGAGAUAAUAUCUUUGGAAAGAUGUUCCUCGAAGGAGCGCAGAUCAGAUAGGAAUUGGCGAAGGCACGGUGUGGAUGAAAUUGCAAAACGCGAUACGAUAGGACGAUUCGUGCGUGCAAUUUGCGCGAAUGGAUUAACGUGUAAACUCGCACGAGGGCUCGUGGCCAAGGUAAGACGAUUCGCGCGUGCGCACCAAUACUUUCCACAUAAGGGGGAGCCUACUGGCCCCGUGGCACACGAACCUACAAACCGAACAAGCCACCGCUCCCGAUCGUUUUGGGCCUGACCAGAACAAACCUUCGAAAACCUGUAGCUCCCUUUUUCGUCCUUGUUUCGAUAUGCCAACGCGUGCGUGCGUUCGGGAAUAAACAAUACCUGCGAUCUACCAUCCGAUGAUACGGUAACGAGGCUUCUCAAAUCUUCGAAUGCAUCGCGAACUUGUAACGAAUAUUAAAAAUCGGUUCGAUAUCGAUCUCGUUCCUCUCGUUAGUUCUUUUUUUCCCUGCGUUUUUAUAGUUUUCAUUCUGUAUCAGCCGAUCAGUUAUUGGAUAUGGAUUUGAAUUUUUAAUUUUGUGAAAAUCAAAAAUUUUUGUCGGUAAGAAAUUGUUUUUAAUUGUGAUUAUCAGAUUAAGAGUUGAAAUAAAAUUUCGAAUAAAGUUAAAUAAUAAUUUUAUCUAAAA